rnacentral:rRNA from 1 species
CCUACGGGUUGCACCAGUGGGGAAUAUUGGACAAUGGGCGAAAGCCUGAUCCAGCAAUGCCGCGUGUGUGAAGAAGGUCUUCGGAUUGUAAAGCACUUUCGACGGGGACGAUGAUGACGGUACCCGUAGAAGAAGCCCCGGCUAACUUCGUGCCAGCAGCCGCGGUAAUACGUAGGGGGCGAGCGUUGUCCGGAAUUAUUGGGCGUAAAGGGCGCGUAGGCGGUUUAUGCAGUCAGAUGUGAAAUCCCCGGGCUUAACCUGGGAACUGCAUUUGAGACGCAUAGACUAGAGGUCGAGAGAGGGUUGUGGAAUUCCCAGUGUAGAGGUGAAAUUCGUAGAUAUUGGGAAGAACACCGGUGGCGAAGGCGGCAACCUGGCUCGAUACUGACGCUGAGGCGCGAAAGCGUGGGGAGCAAACAGGAUUAGAUACCCUUGUAGUC